GUGUUAUGAGAUGACAGUUCACUCUGUAAGAUACACCUGUUGACUGAUCGACUAGUCAGAGACUCCAUCCAUAGAGGCUUUAUUAUCCAUUCAGGGUUUUCUUUCAGGCCCAUGAGCAUCUUUAUCCAAGGAGCCCUUCAACGUCCUCAUUGCUGUACGUAACCCAUAUUGUCAUUUGCAGUACAACCGUUUCUACAAUCAAGAGGCAGUUUCCAAGGGUUCUUCAUAGUCAAGUUCAUAGGUUGAAGGGCUAUUUUAGGAACUUGAACAAAUAUGUAAAAAUCACAAGAACAGAAACAUCUACCUCUUGGUUGCUUUCCCAAUGAACCCGAUGUACAAGAGCCAGGUUGUCGUGGUAAAACAUUAGAUAUAACGUUAUGUGACUGCACACAACAUUAACACCUUAAUAACACAUGAAUAAUGAUAUUUUGAGCUUAACUGAUAUUACGACUGACUGGCUGACUAUAACUUUCUCAAUUAUGUUCAGUAAUAACAAGACGCCUGAAAUGUGUUGUCAGUGUUCCCUUUUUAAGAUUAAAUGUGGUACUACAUCACUAUGUCCAAGCAGGGCAUAAUGCUGACUUGUGCCAUGACUGAGGGAUAACCGGAAAACAGGUUGUCCACUGGGUAUGCUUUAUAUUGACAUACUGAGAGAGCUUGGGUACUUGCUUCCAGAGGGCCAUGCCUAUAAACACUGUCUUGUUCAUUUGCUCAUUGCUCCAUUUUCUUUCCCUCUAAAACUGUUUAAUAAUUCUCUUUCCUCAAACUCCAUAACCAUUUAUGUUCACGGGGGGACAUUAGUGGUGACUCACGGUCACCCUGCCACACAAACAUUGAUUGAUAUAAAUUCUAUAACUGAACAUGCUUUGCUGGGUUUGUGCAGUAGUAUAGAGUACUACUUCUAUUGUCAAAAUAAAUUGUAGAAUGAUUUGGGGUAUUCAUUGGCAAUGACAGAGUUUUCUGUCACAGGUAUAUUAUAUGCAUUCAGAUUUGACAAUUAGGCAGUGUAGUUGUCCAAACGGAUGCAAACUCAAUACUGUUCAUCAAAUUACAUACAAUUGACUUCACCUUUGAGUUUAUAAAGACUGUUUUAGAGCGUAUGUGCAAAGUGUCAUCUACCAUGUCUUCAUAAAAACCUAUUUAGAAUUAUUCUGUAAGAUUGUCUCCAGACCAACACUCACAAUAAGGCAUAUGUUGAUUACUUUCCCACAUUAGUGUAAUCAUGUUGACAAAAUGAUAUUGAAAUAAUGUGGUAACAGCAUUAGAUUCCACCUGUUUGUCUAUUGACCACACAGAUGUUGUAUUCCAUUGUGUCAUCCAUACCUCACUUCCAUCUCAUCUUUCAAUUGAUUUCCAAUAUCCAUUCAUCUACAAAGAUACAGUACAUUGAUGAGGCUUUUCAGGGAUUACCAAAGAAACAAAGGCUAUUUUCAACCCAAAAUAUUAUUGGUCAAUAUUACCACCACAGGUGUCCGUCAGUGAUUCAGACCCUGAUCUCGACUGAGAGUCUUUGUUUUUUACCCACCAGAGCACUAACUGCUAGACUAGUUUAUCAGGUAUUGUACUAUUUUGAUGAUUUAAUGUCUGCUUAACUGAACACCAGUAGUUUAACAUGAUCCUGUAGGCCUAAAUCUUGUUCCCGGCCACAAAGGUCUAUUAUAUAGUCUUUUUAGCUCCCAUCAAAACUAUUAUUUUGCCCACGGGAUGUGUAACCAGUCCUGACGCUCUGUCUAAAUGGGUAAAGUAACCAGUCCUGACGCUCUGUCUAAAUGGGUAAAGUAACCAGUCCUGACGCUCUGUCUAAAUGGGUAAAGUAACCAGUCCUGACGCUCUGUCUAAAUGGGGAAAGUAACCAGUCCUGACGCUCUGUCUAAAUGGGGAAAGUAACCAGUCCUGACGCUCUGUCUAAAUGGGGAAAGUAACCAGUCCUGACGCUCUGUCUAAAUGGGGAAAGUAACCAGUCCUGAUGCUCUGUCUAAAUGGGAAAUGUAACCAGUCCUGACGCUCUGUCUAAAUGGGGAAAGUAACCAGUCCUGACGCUCUGUCUAAACAUUAAUUAUCCCUGCUUGUGAUGUGGUUUUGGAAACGUUUGGAACUUUACUUUCAUAUCAUUGAGAAAUUAUUUUACAAAUACCAAAGGUUACACUUACUGUACAGCAUUUUAACACAGUUGCAGCCAACAGUAUUUUUCAGUAAACAUUUAUUGCUUCCUCCUCCUGUUAUAAACAGAUGUUUGCCAUGCUGGAUAGUUAAUUAAAACAGAUCGUCACCUGUCACAUAUACAAGCCAGACAAUUGCUGUAAGAUGGAUCCCACACUGCCAUGUUAAAAAUGGGUCUAGCAAUUUUGCAUUAUUUUUUGUAUGUUUAUAAAGAGUGUUGGGACUGGUUACCUAUUCUCCGCAAGCAAAAUAAUAGUUUGAACAGGUUCCCAAGGGUUGUAUAAAAGCACUCUGACUCAGGGCAAGCCAUAAUCAUGAGAUUAGUUGCAUGAUAUGGGCUAUUUGGAGGCAGCAUUUCGGUUCACUGUAAGUGGCAGGUUCUCCAUCAUUUAAUGUUCUCCAUAAUGUUUUCUAAGGUUUUUUCCCUUUUUGUCCUUGCUCUUCUACAUCUUCCAUACAUCUCUUACCUCACUUUAUGGAACUGGCUGCGACCAGACAGAAACCGUCAUUGAUAUAGAACGGCAUAGAUAUAAACCGGUCUCUCACUACAGAUAGUUAGCAAAAGAGUAGGAAGAAGGACCCUCACACACACAUUUUACCUCAGAGGCAUUCAUGACAAUUGUGUCUUGCUUUGGGGUGAUAGGGAUGACUUUGUACAGAUAUUUGUAGAAUUUAUUUUCAAUGUAUUGAUUUAGAAUGCGAGAGCCUUCUUUUGACAACGCUUUUGUAGAUACCAUCAAUGAUCUAGAGUUAAAACAACUAUUUUAAAGGUCACUCGAGGAAUUAAAAGUAAUAUUUUAUAUUCAGCAUAAUUGUUAUUUACCAUUAACAAUAAUGUUUGAGUAUAUAUUAAAGUAUUGCAAUAUGCAGACAAUUUAAUGCCAGAGGGAUAAAUUAUUUUACUUCGAGUAUAUUUCACUAAUAUUGACAAUCUAAAUCUGUCUUUUCUUAGUGUAUUCUCAUUAAUUGCCUGAAUGACUGACUUAAAGUAACUGCCCAGUGUAAAUCUAACUUUUAUAAAUUCAUAUACUAUUAACUCAUACCCAAAUAAUGUUGAUGACUCAUCCACCCACGUUGUUGACUUGUCCAUCUACGCUGUUGACUUAUCCACCCACGUUGUUGACUUAUCCACCCACGUUAUUGACUAUCCACCCACGUUGUUGACUUGUCCAUCUACGUUGUUGACUUAUCCACCCACGUUGUUGACUUAUCCACCCACGUUGUUGACUUAUCCACCCACGUUGUUGACUCGUAUUUGUGGCCAAAGCAUACAUUGGAAAAUUUGUAUUUUAUUUUUUUGAAACACCUCAAACUUGUGUCUCAGACAGUUAAAAAAAAGAAGCUUGUUAUUUCCUCAGAGGAUGAGCUGGUAAAUCAGCGGUCUACUCAUUAAUAUUUUUUUUAUGACCGGUAUAUGCCCACACCAUUCUAACACAGAACCUUUUUUUUACAUACUUAAUUACCAAUCUUUUGGAAGGAAAAUUAUUUAUAUCAUAUUAUAGUUAAUUCUAGGUCAUAUUUAAUAGAAAUCUGGAAACACUGGGCCGUUACUUUAAAUCCUCUCCAUACAGUAUUCAUGAAAUUAGGUUAUGGUAGAGUUAAAGCCAGCUAGCUAGCCUACUGAUUACUACACUCGCUAAGUCUAGGGGUCCUAGGCCUAACUAUAUGGUCUGUAACCUGAUUUAAUGUGUUCAUUUAAGACUUAGCGAGUGUAGCAAUAUCAUUAGGCUAGCUAGCUGGUUUUGUAACACUAGUCAGAGUUUGUGGACCAUGUUGUAUAUGACAUCAACCUUACCUGGGGUCCAGGGCCAGCUCCAUCUUGACUUCUUGGUUGUUCAGCCCAGGCAGAUUGUUGUUCAGUUUAUGGUGCUAAAAAUAAAUAUUUACAAAAAGGCCUGUCCAAAACUAAGGACACUAAACACUGGCCGGCCAAGAAGCUCCUGUCCACUUCUCUCUCACCAAUUGUCGAUCCCUGAUUGCUCGCACUUGUGUGCUUAUCAAGGCUUGGCACAGCACCUGGCCGAGUUGCUGCUGCCACAUGGGGAUACGGAGUGGAAAUGGUAGUGUGCUGUAACAAUAAACUAGCCCCCAUAUCAUAACAUUAGGUCACUAACUAGCCCCCAUAUCAUAACAUUAGGUCACUAACUACCCCCAUAUCAUAACAGUAGGUCACUAACUAGCUCCCAUAUCAUAACAUUAGCCCCCAUAUCAUAACAGUAGGUCACUAACUAGCCCCCAUAUCAUAACAGUAGGUCACUAACUAGCCCCCAUAUCAUAACAGUAGGUCACUUCAGAUGAUUUGACACUUCAGCUGUAUGACUCCUAUCUAAAAGCCAUUUACCACGUGUUUGGGAACGUUCAAAUGAACUUUCGAGUGCAUCAAGAGGGAUUGUUGUGCGAUAUCGUUGAUGAUUGUGAACGCUAUCACUUUUUAGAUUGUUGCCAGUGCAAGUCAAUAAUGAUUUCUACAAGUCACAUUUGCUGUAUUUCCAUGUAACAACUUAUCAAGCUGUUGUGUGACUUUCUUUUGUCUGAGCUGUUGAAAGAUCUCGCUAUGGAUUAGUAAUGAAAGCAAAUAUAUGACCUGAGUAAUGUAAAUAUUUAGAUGUGUCAUAUAUUCAAGAAAGAGCUUGACCAACAUUCAAACUACAAAUUGGAUCCAGUAAGUAGUAUACACCCUUUAGUGAGCCUGAAGUUUGAUAUGAUCUGUGCUAUUGUAGCUGCUCCCUUUCAGUGACAGAUAUCUUCUUCAAAAGGUGCACAGCCUACUAUAAUUAGAGUGGUUGUUUAGGAAGCCAUGAAUGGACUCAAGCAUUUUGUCGGUCACUAUUUUCCUCUUUCAACAUGACAAUUUGAAAAAAUGACACCAGGCUAUUGGUUUAAAUUAACAGUGGGCUGCUUGAUUCUAUGUGGUUUUUUUUAUAGGCUAACACUUUGACCUGAUAUCAUUUGGUCAUGAAAAUCUCAUCUUAUUCUAUGGAGUGCAUGUGAAGUUGCCAAACGUCUCCUGUUGCCUGUAGUUGCUUUCUCUGCUAGAAUGUGCCACAACAUUUACAGGAGGCUUAAAUGUCCCUUUCCAUCCAUUUCUAGACAUGCAGGGAAAGAGUAACGUUGUUGGAGUAGGAUGGUGUUGGUCCUUGCACUAAUGUUGUUAACAAACACAGAAUAGCCUGUUAGAAACCCUCCCUAUUCACUUAACUGGGGCGGCAGGGUAGCCUAGUGGUUAGAGUGUUGGCAACCAGAAGGUUGCAAGUUCAAACCCCUGAGCUGACAAGGUACAAAACUGUCGUUCUGCCCCUGAACAGGCAGUUAACCAACCGUUCCUAGGCCGUCAUUGAAAAUAAGAAUUUGUUCUUAACUGACUUGCCUAGUUAAAUAAAGGUGUAAAAAAAAAAUACAAAAAUUAAAUGCUGUAGGGCCAUGUGAAAAAUGCAGAAAAUGUAUGUCACUUUUCCUCCUCAAAAUUCAUUUUCAAGCUAAACCUUGACAUUUCCAUUUGUCAUUUGAGAAAACAUUAAAGUUAUACAUAUUAGAAGAACAUAAUGUUUGAAUUGUUGUCAACAAAGGUCAACAUUUUGUAAUAUUUCAGAGAACCUGUGCACCCACCCUAAACAGAAUUGAAAAAUAGAAUUUUGAAGGAGUAUGUGGUAUAUCAGGUAAUGUUGAAAUUGUAAAGUUUGUGUAAUCCAAUUGACAUUUUCUGUUUAAUUUAUUUUAACUGGUCUAUAUUUCAUCAAUUUUAUUUCUAUAUUUCAAUUACUUUUUUUACUCAAUACAGUGUUUAUUAAUCCUGAACUUAUUUUUUAAAAUAUGGAACACCUUUGUUAGAAAUUGUGAAACUGUGGUAAGCAUAUUGAUGUAAUGUUGUCUUUUUCUUUGUUUACAAAACAUCUUGCAUAAGAAACAAAGUCCAAUCUAUUGUAACUGCCCUUGAAUAGCUGUGUCAUUUAAAUAGUGCUGCUAGAGAGACAUUCUAAAUGUAACAUCUUACAAUAAAUACUUUUUAGACUUUUCCCAUACGUGAUGAGUUAUUUAGUACUACGUUUUCCC
ensembl:lncRNA